UACGUAGGGUGCAAGCGUUGUCCGGAAUUAUUGGGCGUAAAGAGCUCGUAGGCGGUUUGUCGCGUCUGCUGUGAAAACCCGAGGCUCAACUCGGCCUGGCAGUGGGUACGGGCGAGACUAGAGUGCGGUAGGGGAGAUUGGAAUUCCUGGUGUAGCGGUGGAAUGCGCAGAUAUCAGGAGGAACACCAAUGGCGAAGGCAGAUCUCUGGGCCGUAACUGACGCUGAGGAGCGAAAGCAUGGGGAGCGAACAGG
rnacentral:rRNA from 1 species